AAUAAAGUUGCGGAUAGUUGAAUCCUUGCGUUCCAGAUGGCGCUGUACUUGUCACCUCUGAGCCGCUGGGCAGUGCUUAGUGCGGGCCGGGUCGGGCAAGGCCACAGGGCAUUUAGCCAUGGGACAGCAUUAUUAUCAAGCGAGAACAAAGAACCCCCACAAGCAAAGUUCUUCCCUCCUUUAGAGACGGCAAUGUUACCACCCGACUCAUUCAAAGGAAAGGUGGCCUUCAUUACAGGGGGUGGGACCGGCCUGGGAAGAGGAAUGACCACCACCCUUUCCCGAUUAGGAGCCGAAUGUGUUAUAUCCAGCAGAAAACUGGAUGUCUUAAAAAAAACUGCAGCUGAGGUCACAUCAGAAACUGGAAACAAGGUUCAUCCAGUUCAGUGUGAUGUCCGAGAUCCCGAGUCAGUUAAAAAAGCUGUAGAAGAACUGAUUCAAGUGGCUGGACAUCCAGAUGUUGUGAUAAACAAUGCAGCGGGGAACUUCAUUUCUCCUUCUGAAAGACUGUCUGCAAACGCCUGGAAGACCAUCACAGACAUUGUUCUUAACGGCACCGCUUACGUAACGCUCGAGGUUGGCAAGGAGCUCAUUAAGGCUGGGAAGGGGGCAGCAUUCCUUUCAAUUACCACAGUAUAUGCCAAUAGUGGGUCUGGCUUUGUAGUACCGAGUGCAUCUGCCAAGGCUGGAGUUGAAGUGAUGUGCAAAUCCCUUGCAUCUGAGUGGGGAAAAUAUGGCAUGAGGUUUAAUGUGAUACAGCCUGGUCCAAUAAGAACGAAGGGGGCAUUCAGUCGCCUUGACCCCACUGGACAAUUUGAAGCGGAAAUGUUGAAAAGGAUUCCUUGUGGACGUCUGGGAACAAUUGAGGAGAUCGCAAAUCUUGCCUCCUACCUCUGCAGUGACUAUGCUACCUGGGUCAAUGGGGCAAUUAUUCGUCUGGAUGGUGGUGAAUAUGUAUCUAUGGCCGGCGAGUUUAAUAGUUUAACAAAGGAGAACUGACAGAAGAGAAUAGAAGACAGAGCAAGAUGGGGCCUCUGAACUCCGAUGCAGAUCACAGAUUUAUGGCAGGUAACCAAUGAUCAGUGGGAUAUGUUAGAAAAAUUAAUCAGAAAAACAAAAGGAUCCUAAAGAGCCUGAGCUGAAAUACACUUAAAAGCCUUGAUAUAUUUUUGUAACAAUAGACCCCUUGAAAUCUUUCACUAAUGUGUUUAAUAUUGAAUGUGUUUAUAUUGAAUAAUCAAAACAUUGACAAUAAAUUCAUACAUUUACUGAU